rnacentral:rRNA from 1 species
GAUGAACGCUAGCUACAGGCUUAACACAUGCCAGUCGAGGGACCGGCGCACGGGUGAGUAACACGUAUCCAACCUCCCCUUUACUCGCCGACAGCCUGUCGAAAGAAAGAUUAAUACCCGAUAUAAAGGAUGGGGAUGCGUUCCAUUAGGUUGUUGGUGAGGUAAAGGCUCACCAAGCCUUCGAUGGAUAGGGGUUCUGAGAGGAAGGUCCCCCACAUUGUAACUGAGACACGGUCCAAACGCGUAGGGGAGGCAGCAGUGAGGAAUAUUUGUAAAUGGGAGCUAGUCUGAACCGGCCAAGUAGCGUGAAGGAUGAAGGGUUGUUGGUCGUACACUUUCUGUAGAUAAGAACAUGUCUUAGAUGAAUAAGGGCCGGCUAAAUCCGUGCCAGCAGCCGCGGUAAUUC